AAUACCACUUUCAGUGACCAUCUCCCAUCUCUUCUAUCUUUUCAAUUCAGAACACAAAAGCAACAAUGGCCCUCUCUCCUCUCCUCUCCUCUCCCCUUCUUUCUUCUCUCUUCUCCUCCACCACCACCCUAGCAAACCAUAGCCGACAAACCUCCAGCUACCACUGCACAACCAUCUCCUGCACCCCAAAAAUCCGCGCAACAGUGAAAAUCAACACAAAAUUGGGGAUAAGAGUUGAAAAAUCUUGCAUUCCAUCAUGAUAGUUGUGGAAAAAUGGAGACUUAGAUUUGAAUUUCAAAAUCCUAUCUCAAUUUGCUUUAAUUUUGGCUUCAAAUCCGGACCUUUGAGUCCGGAUUUGGCAUAUAAAUAGGAUGUUCUUCAAUCCUAGAAAAGACAAGCUUUGAAGGUCGAAAAUUGGAAGAAAACGAGCGAAAAAUUAGUAUUAAAAACAGUGAAAGUAGAGCAAAUUAGAUCGCAGACAUUCGAAAUCCUUGGAGUUGAAGUCGCCGUUGAAGAAUCCUUGUCGUCGUCGCUCCAAUUUGCUGCCCUCAAAAAGAUAACUUGAAGAGGGGCAUUCUUCAGAAGAGAGGCUAUAGUGCUGGAACAUUUCCAUUCAAAUACCUGGGAGUACCUAUUGCUACCAGGAAGCUAUCAAUUGCUCUAUGUUGGACCUUGGUUGAGAAGAUAACAACAAAGAUCACUUGCUGGUUUGUAAGAUUAUUAAGCUAUGCAGGAAGGCUUCAAUUAAUCCAGGCAGUGGUAUUUGGUAUGCAGGCAUACUGGGUACAGGUAUUUUUGAUCCCCAAAAAGGUACUGAAGUGCAUUGAGAUAAUAUGUAGAACAUACUUGUGGACUGGCAAGAAUGAAAUCUCUUAAAAGACACUUGUCUCUUGGGAGAAAGUAUGUUUACCACAGGGUGCAGGAGGGCUGAAUGUGAUCAACUCAUACCUAUGGAACAAGGCUGCAAUAGCAAGACAUCUAUGGGCAGUAGCAAUGAAAAAAGAUUGCUUGUGGAUAAAAUGGCUCCAUACUUCUAUAUAAAGCAGCAGGAGUUGGAACAAAUCCCUCUACCUAAAAGUGUCUCUUGGGUAAUUAGGAAGAUAUUGAAUACCGGGAAACUGGUUAUAGAGACACAACAAUUGCAAGGACACAUGUUGGAUAGGUUGAUGCAACUGCAGAAAGGAGAGAAAUUCGGCAUCAAGAUGUUGUACUUAUUACAGAUACCUCAGUACCCUAAAGUAGCAUGGAAGAAGAUGAUUCUACAACCUCACAUGCAGCCUAGUCACAAAUUCAACUUGUGGUUAGCUCUAUGACAAAGAGACUACUAAAGAUUGGCAUACAAGUCCCUAAAACUUGUGUAUUCUGUGAUGCAGCAGAUGAACUAAUCGACCAUUUAUUUUUUGAGUGUAGCAUCACUAAGGGUAUCUGGAGAAGACUACUUACUUGGCUUGGAAAAGUUAGAAAAAUUGGAAGCUAGAAUACAGAGGUGCAAUGGUUGAUGACAGGACUAAAACAUGAAGUGGGGUUCAGAGAAGUAGUAGCAGCAUUUUUCAGCAUGAUGAUUUACUCCAUCUGGACAACCAGGAACACACUCAGAUUUUAGAAAGGGAACUUAUUCUAGUGAUAAAAUUUGUAGAGAUAUAGCACUGCAUAUACAUACUAAAGGAUACUUUGUAAUUAAAUGACACAAACACUUGCAGAACCUUAAUACUUAUCCUUGAUGUACUCCUAGAUAGCCAGAAGUUAAUUGUAUGAGUAGAAUUAUGAGAUGAGAGGUGAUUGGUCAGCAAUCACCUAGGUUUGUAAUGAACAAUUUUGGUGAAAUGAAAUUUUCGUUUACCAAAAAAGAAUCAUAUUUCCCCCUCUCA